ACAAAAAUUCCACUCGUCCGCUCGUAUUGACGAGUGAAAUCUUGAAAGGACGAGUGAAUUUCCCUAAAGCUCUCGUCCUACAGGACGAGUGAAAAAAAACUGGUGUUAAAAUAUGUAUUUUCUGACCAGUAAGACUCUUUUUCAUUAAAUAAAAUCAUUUCUUAAAGCAUAUCUAUUCCGAAAGUAGAACGCGAAUGAACCGGAAAUCGUAAUUGUAAAUUUCAUACAGCAGGUGCGCGUUGUUAUGCGAGACUGUGUCCCGGAGUAAAUAUUGGCUUUUUGGUGUAAACUUUGCGCGUUCAUGUUGACAGGGAACCAUCUGACUUCAUUCACUGUAAGUAUUGAUUUUUUUUAAGAAUUAUUUUACUGCGAAGUACCGUUUUCAACCAGUCUGAAUUUCAUCUGAAAAAUGUAUGACAUACGAGCGUUCUUUAAAGGGGGCAGGAGCGAUACAUUGUAUUCAACCAUCCGAAAUGGAAAGCACGCAAGCAUUAGAAAAAGGAAAAAACAAAUUUGUCUUCAUUUAUUUAUUUUGUGUUCCUCAUAAAUAAAGUAAGUUAACAUUUCUUCUGUGAUCAGCUGUCAUGAAUAACUAAGUAAGCAGCAUUUUAGCAGUGAUAUAGGAAACAUUGUUAGUCAUAUCAGUCCUUUGCAAUCUUUCUUUCACACAUAUUUGAAGGACAAGUGCAUGUGUUUGCAGGACGAGUGAAAAUUUUAAUGCACUUGUCCUGCAGGACGAGUGCAAUUUAUAAAUAUUUUUGUCCCCUGUAUCCUAAUAAAACAAUUCGGUGUCUUUUUAAAAAUAACACAAUAAAACAAAAAUCUAAACAUUUUUAAUAAACAAAAAACCCAUCAUGAUAUGGAUAUGUCAUUUGCAUUUAAUAAAAAUAUUUUCAAUAUUAUAUAUGAAUAGCCACCGGGUUCACUGUCAGACGGUUGAAAAUCAAUAUGAAAUAAAUGCUCAUUUUUACAACGGAUUUUUCAUCCCCUCCCUAUAUAAUAUGUAUAAGAAACGUUUCUGAUAGUCAGUCUGCCGUUAACUCAUUUAUUUUGAUUACGCCAUUUCUCUCUAAAGUUUUUAUGAUUGUAUUAACGUUUUACAAAGCAGUUUAGGUUAGUGUGCGGCUUUAAUAAUUUAUUUUAUAGAAAAGAGCAUAAUACAUCAUUACAUAUAUAGAAUUUCCCUCACGUAAUCCGCUAUAAUUGCGAUCUGCUUGUCAGAGUUUUCUAAUCACUAGACCACGUGACUAUGUGGGCGGAGCGAUCGAUAAUUUGGCGACUGGUCAAUUGAAUAUUGAGCUAAAUUAAAUUAACAUUGAGACUUAUAAUUGUUCUGUAAAAUGUAUUGAAAUACUGUCAGCAUGAAGUUUUGUGUGAUGAAAACAAUGUGUUUUUUACUACAAUUUGGAAAUCAUCAGUUUGUUGGAAAAGAGGUUCAACUGUUGUUGUUUUUUUGGAAUACUGUAGAACAGUUUUAACAGGUUUGUAUUGUCAUUUCUUCAUCCUUUUUUUUAUUUAGUUUAUUGAAUUAAUUAUGAUCACUAGUAUAUUUAUGUAUUGUCACUGGGAAAUGUAAAUUGAUAAGUUAAUGUAUCGCAAUUUAAAGGAAAAACAACACAAUUUGAAGCAAAUAUAGAUAAACAUACACAUGACAAAGUGUAAAUGUUGUGUACAGUGAAUUGUUGGGGUUGUGUUUUAUGAUUAUUGUCAUCUUUAUUGUUAUUUAUUGAUAUUUCUGGUUAUUACUGAACAGAUUUCUUUCCCUCAUAUUUUAAUGUUGAAGGUUAAACUCUUGCCCCAAGAGCAAAAGGGGUUAUCAUACUACCUGAUGUAUGGACUUUUAAACCAGGCUUUUACCCUGCAGAGCUGGCCAACUUGAGGGGAACUGAAGUGGGCAAACCUCGCCCUGUCCUUGAACAAGAAAGCUGGAUUUGUUGAGAGAGUAUCAUUAAAGCUGAAAUCCAGCAUGAAACCAGGGAGGUGAAGGCCAUCGCACAGGCCAUGUGCCAACUAUUCACUCCCCACCAGCUUGUGACUUGCUCCAUGAAGGGAGCAACAACUACAACGGGGUCACCAAGACCAAGCCUCCCUGCUGCUGAGAGAAAUGCAAUCAUUGAUGUCAUAGCCAAAACCUUUGACAAGCCUCUGGUGGAUGUUAAAGAAAAGAUGAGAGGUUGUUUAAGGCGUCUGCGGCUGAUGCACAAGUAGACUGAAGUCUUUGUAAAUAAAAUGUGCUGUUAAAAUGAUUAUUUAACCAUUGUUUUCACUUUGUUAUAUAGAUUUGCACCUGUUGCAACAUCAUUAACUUAUUUUUGUGCUCCCGAUAGGGUCUCAUAUAGCAGUUGAACUGUCCGUCUGUCUGUCUAUCCGUCCGAAAACUUUAGCAUUGGUCAUAACUUUUGCAAUAUUGAAGAAAGCAACUUGAUAUUUAGCAUGCAUGUGUAUCUCAUUGAGCUGCACAUUUUGAGUGGUGCAAGGUCAAGGUCAUCCUUCAAGGUCAGAGGUCAAUAUCCAAUGGAAGUAAU